UACGUAGGUGGCAAGCGUUGUCCGGAUUUACUGGGCGUAAAGAGCGCGCAGGCGGUUGGAUAAGUCGAAUGUGAAAGCCCCCGGCUCAACUGGGGAGGGUCAUUCGAUACUGUCCGACUCGAAGGCAGGAGAGGGAAGCGGAAUUCCCGGUGUAGUGGUGAAAUGCGUAGAUAUCGGGAGGAACACCAGUGGCGAAGGCGACUACCUGGCCUGUUCUUGACUGCUGAGGCGCGAAAGCUAAGGGGAGCAAACGGGG
rnacentral:rRNA from 1 species